GGGCUAUAGCACCCACCGCGGCGGACGUUACGACAGCGACGAGGACCGAAUGGCUCCAGAGCCACCGGGCCCUCGAGUCUUCAGUAGGGCAAUCCGCAGCACGCCGCUGCCGAGCUGUUGGGUAUUUUAAACGCAAACAGAAAAAAUCCGCAAGCACACGGAUACCGAUGUAGCCUUCACCCGAGAGUAUUCCAGAGUAUCGAUUUUCCACAGAGAGCGUGAGUGUACUAACUAAGAUCCA
rnacentral:lncRNA from 1 species